GUUGUUAACUUGGUUAACAAAGUGAAUGCAUUAAAGUGUAGAAUGUUCACCAAUUUUUGAGUCCAUGUGUAUAGGCUGUCCGUCAGCCUUUUUCCUAAUAUCAGAGUGUUUAGCUCCAGAUUUUUGUGUUUCAUCCUCAGCAGCCAUGUGAAGGGUAGUAGUAUUAGACCGAUUUAUUCACUUGCACAUUUUAGUAGUAAUUGGUUUGCUUUGAAUUGUCUUUUUACUAUUUCAAGGAGAACUUCUUGAUUUGAAUUUGAUUUUGACAAAAUAAAAAAUUCAAUAAAAGUAGGGAUGACAUUUUUGACCCAAACCAUGAAACCACCCACUAAAAUUAAGACCCAAGCCCACCCAUCUAUUAAUUGAGUCAAAUGAGUCUAGAUCCAUUUGGGGUGAGUCAUAGAUGGCUUAAACCUAGUUAACCCAAUAAGCCAACAUGUAGUCCAAAGAGGAGGUCUUUCAUUCAAGGCCCACUUUACUCAUGACUCAUGAGAAAUUGUUUCUUUUAUUUUUCAAUUUUUUUUCGAAAAGAAAAUUGCUUCUGCUUUUAUUUUGAAGAAAAUUUUUUGAAAAUAAUUUAUUUUCAAUUUCUGUUCAAAAAUACAAACCAAUAUUUUCAGUUUUUUAAACAUAUUUUUUUUGUUUUUAUUUUCGAAAAAACUGAAAACAGUUUUUUCUUCCAGUUUUUCUGUUUAAAUACAGAAACAAAAGCAGAAAAGUAUUUUUCAAUUUUUUUUAACAAAAACAGAAAGUACUUUAUUUUUACAGUUUUUUUAACAGAAACUUGUUUCUUUUUUUUUGGUGAAAAUUGUUUUUGAAACCUGUUUUUUAAGUUUCUAUUAAAAAACAGAAAACAACACUUUUCAGUUUUUUAAAACAAAAACAGAAACUGCAUUUUUUUUCCAGUUUUUUUAAACAGAAAAUUAUUUCUGUUUUUAUUUUAGAGAAACCUUUUUUGAAAGCAGUUUUUUUAAAAAAGGUUUCUGUUCUAAAACAAAACAAAAUAGCCCUUUUCUGCUUUUUUAAAACAAAAACAGAAACUGCAUUUUUUUCCAGUUUUUUAAAACAAAAUAUUACAGUAAAUAUCCUUUCAAACUUUUUUUAAACCAAAACAGAAAUUGCAUUUUUUUUCCCAGCUUCUUAAAACAAAAAAUUAGUUCUGAUUUUAUUUUGCAGAAAACUGCUUUUUGAAAACAUUUUUGUUUUCAGUUUCUGUUAAAAAACAUAAAACAGUAUUUUUCAGUUUUUUAAACAUCUACUCCUGCUGGCCUUGGGAUGGAGGACGAUGACAUUAUUGAAGUGCACAUCAAAUGAAAUGAUCAAGUAAGAGAUUACUAUAUUAGUUUUAGCCAUCUUUCUUCUGGUUUACCUUUAAUUCUAGGCGUAUUAUUUUCUUCUUUUCUGUUGUUUUGUUGUUAUUUGUUGCUCAACAAAAAAUUAUUUAUGUUCUAGAAAACUUUUUUUGAAAACAUUUUUGUUUUAAUAUAAAAAAGAAUUUUCCCCCUUUUUUUAUCUUUUAAAACAAAAAGAAAUCAGCACAAUAUCUGGAGUUAUACAACUGGGUAAGCCUGUUAAUAGUCUAACUAUGUCCUAACACAGCCGGGCUAGUUCUGUAGGUUGGAAUAUACAGUAGGCCCUAUUAAUACUCUAAAAUAGGCCCAAGAAGCUGGAUUAUCGUGUUAUAUCUGGUCCAAGACAGAUGGACUAACCUGUUAUAUUAGCUCCAACACCGCUGGGCCUGUCUGUUAUAUCUGGCCUAACACAGCUGUACUAGCAUGUAGAGAGAUUUUUAUAGUUUUGUUUUAACUGAAAAGGCUGUUAUAGCUGACUGGGCCAGCCUUUAUAUCUGGCCCAAUGCAGCCAGGCUGAUUAGAAUUGUACAGUUAGCCUACAGCUGUAUCAGCCUUUUAUAUCAGGCCCGUUUGUUUCAACCAUUCUCUCUCUUCUUCUUCUCUCUGUGAACACCGAAAUACCCUUCUUCUUUCGCGAGUAAAUCAAACUCUAGCAGUAACAGAAACAAGAAGAAGAAGAAGAACACGAAGAUCUCCAAAUUACCUAGCCAUGAAGCUCAAAGCCCCCAAAUCGAACCCCUUCGAGACCAUAUGGUCGCGGCGCAAAUUCGACGUCCUCGGCAAGAAGCGCAAGGGCGAAGAGCGCCGCAUUGGCCUCGCUCGAU
rnacentral:lncRNA from 1 species